AUGGGCGCCGGCACCUGCAGCUUGUGUACAAUGGUGACUCCACGCAUCUCCUGCGCCCCGCAACCCUCUCCUUCCCGGCACAGGAGGAGCAGGAGCAAGGAUGCUGAGGCGGUUCAGGGAGCUUUGGAUGGUGGUCUUGGUAUUCCGCACAGUGACAAGAGAUUUGCUGGCUUCAAGAAGGAUAAGAAGCAGCUGGGCGCUGAGAUUCACCUUAAAUACAUCUAUGAAGGUCAUGUUGCUGACUACAUGAAGUCAAUAGCUGAUGAGGAACCUAAGAAGUACCAAUCUCACUUCAGUGAGUACAUCAAGAAGAAUAUUGCGGCCGAUGACAUGGAAGCACUGUACAAGAAGGUUCAUGCUGCCAUUUGUGCUUAUCAUACCAUGGCAAAAUCAACUAAGGAACCUCCAAAGACGCACAAGAGUUAG
rnacentral:rRNA from 1 species